rnacentral:rRNA from 1 species
UACGAAGGGGGCUAGCGUUGUUCGGAAUUACUGGGCAUAAAGGGUGCGUAGGCGGCUUGUUAAGUCAGGGGUGAAAUCCCACGGCCCAACCGUGGAACUGCCUUUGAUACUGGCGAGCUUGAGUGCGUGAGGGGUAACCGGAACGAGUAGUGUAGCGGUGAAAUGCGUAGAUAUUACUCGGAAGGCCAAAGGCGAAGGCAGGUUACUGGUACGCAACUGACGCUGAGGCACGAAAGCGUGGGGAGCAAACAGG